rnacentral:rRNA from 1 species
UACGUAGGGGGCUAGCGUUGUCCGGAAUCAUUGGGCGUAAAGCGCGUGUAGGCGGUCCGGUAAGUCCGCUGUGAAAGUCGAGGGCUCAACCCUCGAAUGCCGGUGGAUACUGUCGGGCUAGAGUGCGGAAGAGGCGAGUGGAAUUCCUGGUGUAGCGGUGAAAUGCGCAGAUAUCGGGAAGAACACCAGUUGCGAAGGCGGCUCUCUGGGACGGUACUGACGCUGAGACGCGAAAGCGUGGGGAGCGAACAGG